rnacentral:lncRNA from 1 species
GAUCGCAAGAAACUGAGAUAUUCUUAAGCAUUUAUAGGUAGAAUUCUGUGAUUUCUUAUAUCAAUCAAAUGGAUCAUCUCUGAAUCCAAUGGUCCAGAUUUGUUCUUUCAAUGAUAAAUUCUCGAACAAUAUCGAUACGAAGCAACCAUCGGACAAACAAGUGUAAGUCGAGUCGACAAUGUUGAAUAUAUACUAAGCCUUAAGAGAACAAGAGGGUCUUACAAAACUACGGAGGUUAAAGGCAUUAUUACCAAAACCCUUCUUCCCAAAAUUUCUAAAUAGCAAUAACUCUGAAUUAAGAGGGGAGAUUAUGCAGGCAUUAUGAUCAUGGAAACCAAUCCAAGUACCCAACUGCUCUCUAUCCUC